rnacentral:rRNA from 1 species
UACGUGGGGUGCAAGCGUUGUUCGGAAUUACUGGGCGUAAAGCGUGUGUAGGCGGCCCGCUAAGUCUGAUGUGAAAUCCCCAAGCUCAACUUGGGAACUGCAUCGGAAACUGGCGGGCUUGAGUUCGGGAGAGGGUGGUGGAAUUCCUGGUGUAGAGGUGAAAUUCGUAGAUAUCAGGAGGAACACCGGUGGCGAAGGCGGCCACCUGGACCGAUACUGACGCUGGGACACGAAAGCGUGGGGAGCAAACAGG